rnacentral:lncRNA from 1 species
AUACAUGUAUCAGUCCAGUAAAUAAUCAUGCAUUAAAUAUGCAUUCUCAUUGUGAGAACCUCAGUCAUGCAUUUAUGAAUCUGUAACACCUGCAUCAGAUAUGCAUGUUUAGUAUAACGCAUUUAGUUUUUCAGUCAUAAAAUUAUGUUCCAGCUACUCAUGUUCAGAUUAUUGUUUCCCCUCUCAGUCACUUCCAUUCGAGGAUGAAUGUUCUCAAGGGGGAGAUA